rnacentral:lncRNA from 7 species
AGUAGUACUUCAAUGGCUGAUCCUUCCAGUAGUUUAAGCAAAGGCUGUGGUAGGUGUCAAGAUCAUGAUGAGCAGGGAUUCUUCUACAGAGACAAGACCUGACCUUAGAGCUAGUCAUCCGUAUGAAGAGGCUACACAUAAAUCUACUGCCCAUAAGGCCACAGAGGAAUCUCAGCACUGAGACCCCUCAAACUGCAACUGGGGGAGCACAGCUGCCACAAAUGCCACCUUGUCUUCCCAGAGGGCUGGUGCCAGGACAGAGGAAGAAUGAGCACACCCUGUGGAGGUAAAUGAUGUGUGGAGAAAUGUUGAACCUCUGUUAUCAACACAACCCAAAAGACAAUGAAAGGGCUGAAAUGAGCACCAUGAAGCAGAGACACACCUCGAAUGCUGCCCUAUGACAGAAGUGAACUCUGAGCUCAGCUAUUCAUGACAGGUGACAGAUACCCACCUCCAGCAAAGUGAAGGGGAAGACCCUAAGAGAGGAGCAGGAAGGCAGUGCUUGGUGUUUUCCUACACACCUUGCAAGAAAAAGAUGUCCCAAAAGACUUAGAAGAAAGCCUCCUGGUUCCCAGAUAAGCUUCAUGGAUUCUACAGGUAUGCUCUCGAGGCCAGGACCGGCUUUCAAGGCUGUUUCACGGGCAUGUGGAGGAGGAAGCCCGCAGCCUUCCAAACCACAGCGGGGUGCUCGGGCUUUCUUUCCCACACCUCAAAGACUGCAUCUCUCCUAUGGGAAACUGCAACUUUUCAGGUCGAAUUACUGACUGAGGACACCUAGUGGGGUUUUGGUAGACAUCAACGCCACAGAAACUCAUUCCUCUAAGAGACUGAUUAAUUAAUAACCAUUAAUUACUACCAUUAAGCCUUUUAAAAACAAACAGACAACAAUAACAGAAAAAAAAAACCCUAUAUACAUU